ensembl:misc_RNA Metazoa_SRP Metazoan signal recognition particle RNA
GCCAGGCAUGGUGGCGCAUGCCUGUAAUCCUAGCUACUCGGGAGGCUGAGGCAGGAGAAUCACUUGAACCUGGGAGGCGGAGGUUGAGGUGAGCUGAGAUCGAGCCACUGCACACCAGCCUGGGUGACAAAGUGAGACUCUGUCUCAA